CACACGACUCUCAGCAACGGAUAUCUCGGCUCUCGCAUCGAUGAAGAAUGUAGCAAAAUGCGAUACCUGGUGUGAAUUGCAGAAUCCUGCGAACCAUCGAGUUUUUGAACGCAAGUUGCGCCCGAGGCCUUCUGGCUGAGGGCACGCCUGCCUGGGCGUCAUGC
rnacentral:rRNA from 6 species